UUACUCUCCCACUCCAGUCGUUGCUUUUCUUUCUGUUACUCCGAAAGUAGCUGCUUCAGCUUCAGCCACUCGAAUUUUCGAUAUUCUUUUUUAUUUCUCAUCAAACGAAUGGCAUCUUCUUCUGGAAAUCCUAGUUAUUCUUAGCAUGAUAUUGGGGAAUCUCAUUGCUAUUACCCAAACAAGCAUGAAUCGAGGAUGAUUUUAAUUC